UGACAAGGGACGUCUUGGCAAUGCUCGAAAGGCCGCUGUUUUGCGUCUCUCUCACCUCACCUUUUGCGUUUUGUCGCUCGACCCGACUUCCUUCCUUUCCUGAGUUUUUUCCCCCUAAUCCUGUAUGCGGUAGCCGCAGGACUGUGGGGUUUUUCUUCAAUAAAAAAAAAGCCAUGGUCCUCCAUUGGGCCUAAGAAGACAGGACUCUUCUCUUUUACAGAAACGGAAAGAGGGAGGGAAAGCACAGUGUCGUAUCACCUCAAAAUACAUUUGAGAAAUUCCGAUAAAUCAUCUCAAGAAUCUAGAGGACGAUUCCAACCUAAUAAACGUUCCUAUAAUUGCAUCGGCGUCGUCAUAAAUCUGGCUGCACGCAAUAUUCCGGUGAUAAAUUCUGCGGCAUAGAAGAAUUAGCCCACGUUGCUAUGUACGUUACUGUAUUAGUCAACCCCUAUUUUGAAGAGCGCAGCUGUCACUGCAGCGACGAGGAACAGGAGAGCAUACGUUACUCUGGAAAGGGUGAAGAGGGACGCUAGAGUAGGGCUUGUCGUAUGACGAGUUCACUUAAGCUUGAAGAGCCCCGACGAAGACGAGGGCUGGCGAUUGGCACGAGUACUCUAGGGAUGUUUUCAAGCCUGCAGCUGCCCCCCAGAAAUAUCAUGCGGAUCAAGGGCACGCAUGGGCGCUUCUUCAAGUGACGACAGAAGACUGUCUGACGGACGGUAACCAGAGUUACACAACAAUGCAGUAUCCUGCUCAAGAAAAACUCUCAUCCCAAACCAGGACUUAUCUCGUCCAAUCGUUAUCUGGACCCGGUGCAGAUAGCUGUGCGGUCGAGCAUGUACGACUGAAUUAAUAGGAUUUUGUAUUAUUACAAAAUUCGAACUGCGGCUAGGAGACGACACAAUUCAGCAGGACUGUAGCUCCGUGUUACCAAGUUACUUGGCGUCGAUCCAGCCUCCUGAAGUGAAACGAACGAGUUUCCUCCUCGCAGACAGGGUCAAGAAGCGUUUUGUAAAUUUUAGUGGGCAAUUUCUAUCCCAGACUUAUCGACCAGGUGUAUCUACCUGCAUCACUUCCGGAUUGUACCUCAAGACGAAUGUCCUCCUCUACGAACAUCCGACUCGCAUUUGCCAACGGGAAGCAUUGGCCAUUGACUUUGUCGUCGAGUCCAGAGCCAUUGUGAACGGUCAUUUGGCACGAAUAAUUGUCAAUAGAAAAAAGAAGGAAAAAAAGAGAACAAAAGUCCUUGAGCAAUUUUUCCCAGAGUUCUCUUCAAAUUUGGCCACGUGCUGCACCAGGUUCUAAAUGCAUGAGAAUAUACCUAGUGAGAACAUCCAAUGGAGGUAUUGUCCUUGAUAAAUAAUAAUGCACCAAGCAUAUGGCGCAGAAGUGCAUUCUUUUAGGAUCCAUUCAAACGGCCACGUGGAUCAAACAAUAUGGUAUAACUAAGUAUUCUUAGGAUUUUAAUAACUAUAAAAUAGCUCAGUGCACUGGACUCAAUGACUUUUAUAAACAUUGCCUUACGCACAGGCUAAUGCGGUUGCUUCUGCAGCGAACAGGUUACAGUGCCAUCCUGGUUGCACACCUAGCGCUACGUGAAUAAGGCCUAGCUAAGCUACGUAAUGAGAUGGGAGUUGCGGUGAAUUAAGUUUAAGAAUUCUAUUAGCACUAUAGGUAGACUAUAAGCGUCACUCUAUGUAUAUGCACUAGCUGUAUGCACCAAGCAUCUUGUGCGAACUCAGCGAGAUGCACCGGGUUCAGGAUUCACUGACGUGUAUCUUAUUUACCUUACGCUGCACCAGGGAUGCACUUUUCGUCGAGUAGAUUCUAACCCGAAGCACAUAAUAGCCCUUAGCCCGUACGUGGGUAGAACUUAAUCGUAAGAUCACAUUGUAAUGCGAAGCGUGUUCUGUAUUUUCGAUAUGACUUUAUUACUGCAACAAGUGCAUUGACAUCUAGUGCAUAAAAUAUGCAUAUACUACUUUAAUGAACCUGGUGCUAAAAAGGAUAAUCGAACCGAUUCAACGCACAGCGUGAAGUUGCCCGUGUCUUUCUGUGGUCGUUAUAAUACACCCCUUCUAAAUAAUGCAUCCCUCCGGGAUGCACAUGCACUAGGCUCCGAAUGCAUAGGACAAUAGGGUAACUGUACCUACAGCUGUCAAGCCAUGUGCCACCGCGUGAUAUGCAAAUAGGUGGUUUAUAAAUGUCCUAUGUUUUAUUUAGAACACUGAAAAACAUCCGUACUCUGAGUUGCUGUGAACUCUGCGGUGUAUAAUUCAAUUGAACCACAAUGGUAGGAGGGAGGUGGAGGAGGAAUUGAACAGAUAUAAGACUUAUCAGUGAUAACUCGAGUGCAGGAGGAAUUUUCAAUGUAAAUCCAAUUGAUGACGUAGCCACUGUAUACAGAAGAGCCACCUCGUGGAGCACCGAGGAAUGUGUUGCAUGGUCUAGGUGAACACGUAUUCUGGGAAUAAGAAAUUAAACCAGACGUAGCAAGUGUCUGUCUCUCUGAUGCACUUGUACGUGGCUCAUGUGUACUCCAGUGUCGGAUUUCCUGGCUAAGAAUUAGUCUUUAAAACGUUAAGUCCUCCCGAGAACAAAGUCGAUCCUCUUGCGGAUUUACCUGGAAAGUCGACGUGGGAGUAGUUCUGGAGAAAGGAAAAGAACGUUCAAGAAAAUUCAUGAAGAGAUUCUAAUGCCCGUACGAAAUAGAUAUGUAAAGCGAAGAGGAUAGUUUGGAUUCAACGCGACCCAAAGAAAGGAAGCCCAGCGACUUUAAUAGGAGCCAAGUGAAGC